AGGGCCUUGAUUCAUUCAUAAAAUUCUCAUUAACAGGCAUAGUUUACGAAGGCAGAGUAUGGGUUUGACAGAUUUAUUGAAAACACAAGGAAUGAUAUGGUAGGGCCUGGCUUCAGCAGAUCGGUGCACUAAGGGAGGGAGAGAAGUGAGUAUGGAUUGUUGGAGGCUGUGAGCUACUGGUUUGAACGUUAGAUCUCCUACUUGCAAGUUGAGGUGGAUUCUCUCGGAGAACGUGAGUAGUGUCACAGAGGCUGAAGAAGACAGGUAGGUUUGUUUGCGAGUGAUUACUUUGACUUGUCAGGAGAUGGAGGGUGGACAGGCAGUGUUUCUGGGAACAUAUAGUCUGGAGCUGAGGUGAGCACUUCCUUUGGUUUGCAGAUCUGAAGGAGGCUUUUGGUGGAGCUUCACAGAGAGGUAUUUCAAGUGAACUGCGGCCCACUGGUCAGGGUAAAAUCCUGAUUUGGGUCUUAAGGGUAUAAAUCCACUCUGGGAGAAAGGACCACAAAAACUCAGGUAAGACACGGUCACGAAAACAAGAAUGACAGGGCUUAGUCUGCUGGUCUGAUUACCACUCAGGUGAGUUAACAAUCUGGCAACUCCUUCAGGGUUCCUGCUGUUUAAGAACUCUCACUUGUUUGCUCCUGAUGAUCCACAGCUGUGUGGAAGCACCUGCUUGUCACACCCUGUGAGAAAAGGUGAAAAAGAAAAAAACACAACGCAAUGCUAACCUGUGCUCAGCUCUAUAACCUGACAUAGCUAGGAUUUUUUUCACUUAAGGAAGCUGCUCACAAGUAGUUUAUGCACAGCCUUAAUUUGGGGAUGUUUCUGGUGUUACAGAACAUUUUUCAGGCUUCAUUUUGUAGUGGAAAAAAUUUCUUAUUCUUUAGAUUUCCAUAAAAAACUUGGCAUUGUCGGCUGGAUCAAGCAAGCUGACGAGGCCAAGCUGGAGGACUCAUUAAGGACACUUCAGUCCUCCUGAGAAAAGAGGAACCUGGACUCCCGUCUCCUGCAUUGACAGCUGCCUGGAUCACAAGAACUAGAGUGACUUCUAUAUCGGCCGACUUCCAACAAAGAGGCACAAGACAAGGACGGGGUAGAGGCAGAGGAAGAGGAGGUCGCAGGGAUGAUCAUAAUUGUGGCCAGUAUGGACACUGGAAGAAUAAUUGUCCGCAGCCACCAUGAGGAGGCGGUCCACCCUAGUCCGACUGAGUGGGGGAUGGGACAUCAACGAGGAAUACACCUGUGUACUUUCACAUUUGUUGUGGCCUUAACAGCAGUAUAAUGCAACUUCUUUUAUUUGAGAAACCUAGGACCAUCCAUCUGAGCCCAGCUAAGGGACCAUUACAUGCGUUCCUGCCCGGUCAGUGGGUGCUGAUUAAAGACCUUCGAAGGAAGCAUUGGAAGGCUAGACGGUGGCAGGGACCUUUCCAGAUUCUUCUCAUCAUUCACACUGCCAUGAAAAUCGCUGAAAGAGCCACGUGGGUCCACGCAUCGCAUUACAAGCUGUUCAGCGGAGAACCACCUAAGGAGUCAUGGCUAAAGUUUUCUUCACCCUGCUGGGAUUUAUUGCCAGCUUCUUUUUAAUGAUCACAUUUUCCACUGGACCUCUGAUUGGUCGAGUAGAAUAAAGAGCUUUUCCAAGGCCAGUGCAAAAUCCUUUGGAGGCACCAUGGGUGAAACAAAACUUGCUCUCAAUUUGCAAACUUUUCAGCUAAAACUACAACAGCAGAAAACUGUUUUAUCUGCAUGUCACACCAUCUCCCUUCUACCUAUGUUGCUGUACCAGGAGAAAGGAAGAUUACAGAUUACAUGUCAUCCUCUCAUUAUUCUUUAGAUCCCAGGAUAUUAAUUCUAUCUGAGGACAUGACUGAGGACAGAUUUCAGAUGAUAACUUUUGAGAAGAGUAAACUCACAUAUUCUAUGUGCAUUAUGAUGUGGUCCAUUGAGAAUAGUGUACAAUAUCACAUGUUAUCUUUCUCUAAACCUUCUGCCUAUCAGAGUUCUGCAGAAAACAUUGAAGAUGAGGAUGAUGAAUAUUGCAUUGCUUAAAAUGUCCAUGACUUAAGGAAACAUUGAUCUUAAAGUGCUGAAAGCAUCUGAUCCUUGUGGAGAAGCCUAUGUCAUGCUGACAUGAUUUGCAUUGUGUUUUUUUUUUUGUACAAAUAUCUUUUUAUAGUUUGUGAAUUUUUCUUUUAUUUUAUUUAUAUAAACACUGAAGACUAGUCUUGGGAGAAAUUGAUUUAUUGAAGCAGUAUCUCACUCUGUUGAUGAUAGAUUUGCAUAACCAUUUAAACCCAGUUUAUCCUGUAUAGUGUCAUGUCCCAUGGAAGAAGAGGGCCCAAAUACAAACAGGAUGAAGACAGCCACAUGAUGAAGCAAUGAUUUCAUAAUCACCAGCCUGAGGAAUAAUGAACCAAAGAAACUGGGCCAAGUAUAACAUUGGAAUCUAACAGUGAUUAUAGGAUAACUGAGAGCUUAACUACGCCGGGAGGACAAUCACUACAACAAAAAACCAGCUAGUCUGAAUUGGCAGUGUGUAAAACAUCUAGGCAGGGAACACAAAAAAAGAGAACAGAUCAGAAAAAUGAAAUUAUCAGAACUACGGCUAAACAGGAAUAUCUCAAAAAACAGAACCCUGAACAAAGAACUAAGAAAAAAGCAAAUGCAAAGUCAUUGGAAUCGACACAAAGAGGACCCAUUUUGGCAAACUUUAUUAUUCAGACUAAAACUGGGCAAGAUUCUGAUCUUGACACCAUAAUAUUAUUGUGUCUAGGAUGUAUCACCUCUCACCGAUAUGGCCACAUAAUCUACUUCUCCCAAAAAUACGCCUCGUCAUGUAAUAGAUGCCUAUGUAUUUUUUAUAUGUGUCCAUUGUAUGGUAAUAAUUGCCUGUUUUAUUUAUUUGGUUUUGCAAAUGUGUAUGUUAAGCUUUUGAUUGGAUUACCAGUGAUACAGGGUGCUAAUGUAAGCUGUGCUUACUUUAAGUUAAAUGUCUUUGUCUUCACCUAGUGCAAAUAUUUCCCACCUCAGUUAGAAAAACAUAGAUAAGAUCACUGCUAGUGGCUUAUUUCCCAGAAAUGUAGGACUUCCCGUAAUGAUUUGUUUUGUCUGUGGCUGUAGCUGUUUGGCAGGGCCUACCCUACAGGUCACACCUUCUGAGUGUCACAUUACACUAAAAAUAUGAGAGCAGGUCUUGCAGCUCUAAGAUCAGUCAGUGUAAUUAAUAAAAUAUUUAGACAAUGCAUUGCUCCAAAUCAAACAAACAGUUUAUAUACUCUAGAAACUGUUUGUAAUAUCGUAUCAGCUAGUCUGAAUAUUUCACAACCAGAAGGAAACUUGUUUUAGAUUUUUGUCAAAACCUUUCAAAAAUGCUUACAUGUAAACUUUGUUGUAACUUUGUUUUGUUUGUGUGAAGUACUGCAGCUCUACUACAGGUAGAGACAGGGGUGAUGAGAGUGAGUAAUGCUACAAGAGGAUUGCCUUGUACAGGGCAAGUAUUUUCGGGGAAAACCUCUGAAGUGAAAAAAAAGAGGAAGCACAGUCUUCCAUGAAAGAGUGAAAUAUCACCACAAUUCUGGCCUGCCACAGAGUUCUUCUGUUUUUGUUGUUUUUUGAUUUUCUAAGGAACUAGUCCUCCAAAGUAACUUGGCUCUAUGGGAUAAAAAAGUACCCCCUUGAUAGCAUGAAUUAACUGUGACUAAACACAUUUCUGGGAGAGCUAUGUUUCACUUUAACCACCCACAGCCAGACCACAUUACUUUCACAUCUGAAAAACCAGUCAGUCAAAAGUGUAUAAAUAAUGGUCCAUUAUCCAGGAGGUAACAAAUCAACCCAGAACAGCACCUAAGGCACUGCAGAACUCAACGGCCUCAGUUAAGGUCUAUGUUCAUGAUUCAAGAACAGGAAAAAGACUGGAUAAAAAUAGCAACCAUGGAAGAGUUCCAAGGCCAGAACCAAUGUUGACCAAAAACACCACAAAGUCUCAACCAGUUUCACAUUUGCCACAGAAACAUCUUGAUCUGACUUUUGGAACAAUAUCUUGUGGACUAAUGGAGACAAAAGUAAAACUUUUACCUCAUUCCACCUGGAUUAAAACUAACACAAUAUUUCAGAUAAAGAGCAUUAUAGCAACAGUGUUAUGAUUUGGGGGUGUUUGGUUUUUGGUUUUGGGCUUUUCUCUUAUAUUGUUCUGACAGUUGAGUUUUGGAACCUGCUUCUAUUUAUUGUUUUAGAGGUGGUGCUGUGUUUGCUUAGGUUUGGUUUCUUCUGAUUGUUGUUCUGUUCAUAUUGCUUUCUGGAUUGAUGUUCUGUUGUUGCUAUUUUUCUUAGGUUUGAUUAUGUCCUGGUAGUAUUUAGCUCCACCCAUGCUUUGUUUUCACUCUCUGUCUCUGUUAAAGCAAUCAGCUUCAUUUGAUCCACCUGUACUAUGCCGAUCAGUUUCCCUGUUUCUCCUGUGCCAUGCUCAUAUGUACACUGCCAUGCUGUUCAUUCUCUGCGGAAAUAUUCACUCUGUUAUCCUACAUAGGAGAGGACAUAAUUCGUAAUACAGCUCGACCCUUGAACGUUCAUCUAAAAAAGACAUUAAAAGUCAGGAUAAGUUAUCCCAACUAAUUAACUCCAACUAUUUUUGACCCUAAAAAUAUUUAUGUUUAUCUUUCACUUUUAAAUGUAAUCCUAAAUUGUUUAGCUAGGCAACAAGAAUUUGUUUGUUGGGGUACUUUUUAAAGCUAUCCACACAACUAAAACAUUUAAACAGGAGAAUCUGUUACAAUAUGAAUAUAAUAAAGGAAGGAAAAACAGUAAAACAUUAAAAGCAAUCUACAGUUAUUUGUAAUUUGUUUACAAAAAGAGAGCUCUGUAUAACAGCAGGACAUAAGAAGGACAUAUUUUCUCCACAUGACUUUGUUUUAAAGGUAAAUAUUUACCUUACUGGUUACUAGGGUGUGGUUCUUCUUGUCAUUCAAAAUGACAAGAAGCACUGUAAAACACUGUGUUUAAUAUGUCACUCUUUGCAUUUAAAUGAGGAAAAUUAUUUCCAGUGAUAUUCUAAUUUAUUAAGAUGCACUCUGAAUCAUGCAGCCAAAACAAGUUUGUCUACUGUAAUUUAUUUCUUUGAACACAAUCUGAUACAGUAUCUAAACAUGACAUCUUCCUCCAACUUCCUUAUUGUGCUUAAAAACCAUUUUAUUACCCUUUAUAACUAAUAUUGCUUCAAAAUAAUGAUCAAACUCACUCAUUUCUUAAGCUCUUUGGUAAAACCAGGUAAUGAAGAUGUUUUUUUGUUCAGGUGCUCUAGCAACUCUUUUUAGUGAGAUGUCUUGUAGCUGACUGACAGGCUGUGCAGCCUCUGAAAAAACAUAAAGAUACAAUUGUUUAAAAAUAAGCACAGAUCCAAAUAUUUAGUAAAACCUGAACUGAAUUCAGGUCUUCCUUACAGCUGUGGUAACAUUUGUUUUUCCAUUGUGGUUGCUGUAGCCUAAAAAUAUCACUGGACAAGAAUUUGAAGUUCCCAUUUUGAUCUUGUUCUAGGACAUUGGUUUCCUGUACCACCUGAAAGAUUUUAAUUUUGUCUUUUGUGUUUCCUUUUUUUUAAACAUGUGCUGUCUGGCAGAGUAGCAUUUGGAAUUGUUUUCUGAGGAAGAGGAAGCCCAGAGGUUUACUUUCACAAGUGAAGCAGUAUGACUUUUGCUAGGUCCCACAUUUGAUGGGGGGCCUAAGAUGAUCCAGAAAAGAGAGGAGUCCAACACCCAACCUGAUAGAAAAACAUGCAUACAGUCACAGUCACACAUUCCCACCUUCAUGCGUACACAUACAAAUACUCACACCCACACACCCAACGUAAAGACACACAAGAAUGGAAGCCAUACACUCACUCACACUCCCCAUACACACUAUAUACUCCCAGGUCUAGGUACUGAUACUCUAGAAGGGCAACCAGCUCCCGGAGGCAGUAGGUGGUCCCCUUUAUUCAGCAGUGGAAAAAGGCAGACCACCAAAGCCCCCAGUCCCGUCUACAGCCGGUACCGUCCGAACCUGGAGAACCCUGGCCUAGACCCCGACCCCAUGCAGACUGGGCCACAAAAACAAAAAAUUUAAAAAAAAUUUAAUUUAAAAACAAGGAUGGAUCCACUGGCCCACACCAGCCAGUCAACCAAGGACAAAACAGUCCCAAGCCCCUAAUGAAC